AAGUCUUGUCAAAAUGUUGAUGGAUUCGCCAUUAUUUUUAUGUUUAAAGAUAAAAUAAUAUAAAAAAAACUGAAAAUCAUUUGUUGACUCAUCAUUAUGCUCAUAAUCAUCGCCAUUUUCAUCAUUGUCUGUAAGCUUAAGCUUUCUUUUACCAAGUGCUACAAGAAACAUUGUGAUUAUAAAUUCCCAACAGGAUCAACAGUUAAUAAUAAAUUGACUCGAAGUUUGUGCUUUUUCCUCUUCUUCUCUUCUUUCAAUUGUCACUUUAAUUAUCUAAUGUUUUCUGAUUCCAGUUGAUUUCCCAGUUAUACGUAUGAUAAUUAUAAUUACUUUCACUAAUGAUCAGCCGAAUAUUGUUUGUAAUUGUUAUUAAAUUCAUAAACAUUUGAUUCAAUUUUUGUUCAAUUACGUUACAUGAGAGGGUUAAAACCUGACUUUAACUCUAUGUAAAAACUCUACUUUAAUGAAUUCUGAAGCAAAAGGAGAUUCCAUGUCAUCAGCCUAAGUGCGUUUGGAGGGUUUGGUCUUGAUCUUUACUUUGGCUCGCCUCUUCCAGUGCCUAUUAAGAUGACAUGCGUUUCAUCUUCAAUUUAUAUGGAAAGGAAGUAAAGUCAACAGUCAUCUCGUCAACUCGUGUGCCAUCAACAAUAAAAAGAUGAACAUGAUGGCGAUGAUGAAAAAAGAAGGUACUUCUUCUGUUCUUCAAACAGGAACCCGACCCAAACACACGAACCACAUCCUCUUUAAAUAUUUGCUCAAAAGUUUCACUUUGCAUAUCUCGUCCUUUACGUCUACAUCCAAGUUGGUCAUCUCGGUAUCCAGGUCAACACUGUAAAGGAAAAACAAAAUAAUUUAUUAUCACCAUUAGUAUUAAUAGAAAAGUAUCAUUUUCAUCCCUUUUCUUCUCCUCAUCACAAUUAAUCUUUUCAUGAUAUCACAGUAAAAGAAGAUUAUUCAUUUGCAAAAUUGAAAACUCAAGAUACAUUUCUGCUCUCCAGAAAUACCUUUCUUCUCAUCUUUAUCUUCCUCCUCCUUCACUCUCUAUGUGCCACCAUGAACAAAACGCCUACACAGCCCAUCUCAACCUACAAUCGUGUAAACUAUCAUCAUCUUUAUUUUAAUCUUCAUAGAGUUAAUAUUACAACAAAUUGUAUUGGAUCGGUUAAAGAUUUUUGCAAAGAACAGGAAAAGUAAUUUCAAGAAUUUUGGGUGAACAAAUUAAAAUUUAUUCCUCCCGGAAA